rnacentral:rRNA from 1 species
GAUGAACGCUAGCGACAGGCCUAACACAUGCAAGUCGAGGGGCAGCACAUGAGUAGCAAUACGAUGGUGGCGACCGGCGCACGGGUGAGUAACACGUAUGCAACCUGCCUGUAAGAGGGGAAUAACCCGGAGAAAUUCGGACUAAUACCGCAUAAUACCACGAGACUGCAUGGUUUUGUGGUUAAACAUUUAUGGCUUACAGAUGGGCAUGCGUAUGAUUAGAUAGUUGGUAGGGUAACGGCCUACCAAGUCUACGAUCAUUAGGGGUUCUGAGAGGAAGGUCCCCCACACUGGUACUGAGACACGGACCAGACUCCUACGGGAGGCAGCAGUGAGGAAUAUUGGUCAAUGGGCGAGAGCCUGAACCAGCCAAGUCGCGUGAAGGAAGAAGGUUCUAUGGAUUGUAAACUGCUUUUCCAGGAGGAGAAACUCUCGUACGUGAUACGGGAUUGACGGUACCCUGGGAAUAAGCAUCGGCUAACUCCGUGCCAGCA